GCAAGAGCAGCCAAACCAUCGCCUCUGGGGUGGCCAUAGGUGAAAAGACAAGUCAGGCCAGUCAGAUUCUCUUUCUUGGGUAUUUGAAAGAGGAAAUGGGUGAAAGAAUGCUGAAAGUCUCUGUCAAGGAAGGCCAUGAGAUAGCUUUAGACGCCAUGAGGAAUCAUGAGCAAGCCAGAAUAGGAGAAAGCAAAAGGAGAGUGAAGCAGACAUAGGAAAGUUGAUUGCUUCAUAUUAACCCCACCUGUUCCUGCCGCAGCAGAAGAAGAUGAAGGCAAGAAAAGGCAGGUUCUUCUAGUCAUGAUCAAUGGAAAUAAUGAGGCACUGACUCCCCAGCCAUGUGAUGGAGCCACCUUGGAAAUGGAUCCUGCAGCCCAGUCAAGCCUUUGGACGAAUGCAGCUCCAACUGACAUCUUGACCAUAACCUUAUGAGAGAUCCUGAGCCAGACCCACCAGAUAAGCCACUCUCAAAUUCCUAAACUACAGGAAACAUAAGUAUAAUAAAUAUUUAUUGUUGCUUUAAGCCAUUAAGUUUUGGAGUAAUUUGUUACACAGUAGUAGCUAACUAAUGGAGUCCUAGUGGUAUUGACCUGCAGCCCCCCAUAGCUGUACACUUCUCAUCAACCCCUUCCCUGUGCUGCCUUAGAUCACCUCCAAAGAAAACCACCUGCGUUCAAAAUCUUAUCUCAGGGUUUGCUUUUGGAAUCGAAGAAAUCCCAGAGAAGGCUCUGGCCUGAAACUGCUGACCAACAUCACUGGUAAUUUAUUGAAGUUAUGAACAAAUGCCCGUGCUGCGUGGGCAAGAAAUAAAGAUGAAGCCUAAAUUUGCUAUGCUUUCUGUUCUGAUCAAAUAAAAUGUACAGCCAACUUCAUCUGUCAGAUAUUUAAUCAUAAUCAUUAUUGUGCUAUGUGGUAAUUAGGCAUAAAUGGAACAUAAAUGACUCUUGAUAGCACCAUUUUAUAUAUCAAACUGUAAUUUUUGUGUUUUUCUUCUCCCUUUGACAGUUUUCCAGUACCCAUCUCUACUCAGUGUCACUGUGGUUGGUUUCCCCUGAGUCAGAGUGGUC
rnacentral:lncRNA from 1 species